rnacentral:rRNA from 1 species
CUUCUCCCUUUCAUUCAGUUGGUCAGCCGGUCGACGCCACCCAACAAUGUUGCAACAUUCACCGCGCUUAUUGAUCAUUGGAGGUCGGAGACACACAGUUUCCAUCUUCAAACCGGGGAGAUGACCGUGACGCUCCAGGAUAUGGCUAUGAUCACCGGUCUUCCUAUCUGUAAGUGCAUCUAG